rnacentral:rRNA from 1 species
AACGAACGCUGGCGGCAGGCCUAACACAUGCAAGUCGAGCGAUCCUUCGGGAUAGCGGCGGACGGGUGAGUAACGCGUGGGAAUAUGCCCUUCACUACGGAAUAGCCCAGGGAAACUUGGAUUAAUACCGUAUACGCCCUUUGGGGGAAAGAUUUAUCGGUGAAGGAUUAGCCCGCGUUGGAUUAGGUAGUUGGUGGGGUAAUGGCCUACCAAGCCUACGAUCCAUAGCUGGUUUGAGAGGAUGAUCAGCCACACUGGGACUGAGACACGGCCCAGACUCCUACGGGAGGCAGCAGUGGGGAAUCUUGGACAAUGGGCGCAAGCCUGAUCCAGCCAUGCCGCGUGAGUGAAGAAGGUCUUCGGAUUGUAAAGCUCUUUUGCCAGGGACGAUAAUGACGGUACCUGGAGAAUAAGCCCCGGCAAACUUCGUGCCAGCCGCCGCCGUAACAC